rnacentral:rRNA from 1 species
AAGUACUUUUGUAUAAUCUAGUAAAACUUAUAGCAACGGAUCUCUUGGCUCUCGUAUCGAUGAAGAACGCAGCGAAAUGUGAUAAGUAAUGUGAAUUGCAGAAUUCAGUGAAUCAUCGAAUCUUUGAACGCAUCUUGCGCUCUUUGGUAUUCCGAAGAGCAUGUCUGUCUGAGUGUCACGAAACUCUCAACCUCCUUUCCUUUGUGAUCGGCUGGUUGGAUCAUGGGCGCUUGCCGGCCAGGUCGGCUCGCCUGAAAUGCAUUUGCGAUGUUGUGUCCUUGUGAGUUGGCCCGACUAGGCGUGAUGGUAACGACGUUCGUCUAGGAUCCCGCUUCGGCGAGGAGCCGCUCCUGUUGGGCGUUUGCCUUCGCAUGAACACUCAUAUCUUUGGUUUAGACCUCAGAUCAGGCAGGAUUACCCGCUGAACUUAAGCAUAUCAAUAAGCGGAGGAA